rnacentral:rRNA from 1 species
CCUACGGGUGGCAGCAGUCGAGAAUCAUUCACAAUGGGGGAAACCCUGAUGGUGCGACGCCGCGUGGGGGAAUGAAGGUCUUCGUAUGGUAAACCCCUGUCAUGUGGGAGCAAAUUAAAAAAAUAGUACCACAAGCGGAAGCGACGGCUAACUCUGUGCCAGCAGCCGAGGUAAUACAGAGGUCUCAAGCGUUGUUCGGAAUCUCUGGGCGUAAAGCGUGCGUAGGUGGUUUCGUAAGUCUGGUGUGAAAGGCGCGGGCUCAACCCGCGGACUGCACAUGAUACUGCGAGACUAGAGUAAUGGAGGGGGAAGCGGAAUUCUUGGUGUAGCAGUGAAAUGCGUAGAUA